rnacentral:lncRNA from 1 species
GGUUAAAAAAAUAUCACACUGCAGAUAAUGUAGACUAGAUUACUGAGUGUGACUGUCUGGACCCGUCAGCUGUAGUUGGUGAAGUCAGGUAGAUCAGGCAGGCGGGUUCUUGGGAGCAUGGUCAGGUCUCAGUGCAAGUUGUACCUGUGACCCUUCUAGGGACGCAGACUAUCUAGAACCCUAACCAGUCAUCUUUAAAUGUAAGCCUCUGGCUGGCUCAGAGUAAAACUUCUUACUGAGAAGAAAAUGAUAAAGUGCCUCUACCAGGUACCUAUGGCCAGGAUUAUACCCCAACUGUUGUUUGGCAC